AAGAGAAAGGAAGAAAGGAAGGAAGGAAGGAAGCAAGGAAGGAAGCAAGGAAGGGAAGAAAAGUGUCAUGGUGACAUUUUAAGGAAUCUAAUCUUAGGAUAGAACCUAAGAUAGUCAAUAUUAACCUGAUGCAAAAAUGAAAUAAUGCAUCACCCAUUACAUUAGUUACAAAAUAUGACUGUAGAGCAUGAACUAUAGUAGUGGACUCAAAUAAAAUAGUUAAGUAUCUUUUGAUUCUUCCAAAAUAUAUUUUUACAUUUAACUAGCAUUACUUCUGCUGAAAAAUAUAGCUAUUUGUUUUGAGAGUACAGUCCUUUCUGAUUAACUGAUCAUAAAUUAUUAAAUGCCAACUAUUAAAUGCCAAUUAUAAAUGCUAUUAUGUAACAGGAAAAUUUCACUGAGCAUAGGGAUGAAAUCUACUAACUGAUAACAUUUUGGGAAAAAUAAGACAUGCCAACAAGUAACAGUAACACAUAGCAAUGUUUCAGUGAUGGUUAACUGCUAUCAAAAUACCAAUGACAUAAAAAUGGAUACUCUACAAGAGAAUUGGGAAGUAUUUAGGCACAAGAAUAAUUUGAGCUUAAUUCUGAAGUAUGCACAUAAUUUAGACAUGUCAAGAUGCAGUGUGGCAAGGAUACUCCAAACAAAGAAAGCUGUCCAAACAAUAUCAUAAAACCUGUAAUUGAUGGAGUAUUUUCCGGGAAAAGUGAGGCCUAACACUAAAAUGGACAGAAUAAUGGGAGACAGGGUGACAGGUAGGCUGCAAAUAGUUGUGUGCUCAUCACCACAUUCUUUUUCUUUUUCUUUUUUUAAGUAUAGUUGAUUUAACAAUGUUUCUUCAAUUGCUCUUGUACAGCAAAGUGACCCAAUCAUACACAGUUCCCUGUGCUGUACAGUAGGACCCCGUUGCCCAUUCAUUCUAAAUCUCACAGUUUAUCCUGUGUCUGCUAAAAAGACCUAACAUAAUAAUGAAAUUCUAAUCUUUGACCUCUGCCCAUUGCUAGCUCCCCUCUGUCAUUUAUGUUGGAAUCCCUCAAAAGCAAAAACUGGACCUUCAACUUUCUUUAAUUUUAUUCCAUAUGGUUUUCUCAAGAAACACGACAGUGCAAUGCAGAACUGGAGAGGAAACUGCAACUAAACACUCAUAGUAAUUGUAAGUAAAAUGAAAAUCAGAGCAGAAAUUCUCUUCUGUUCUGUGCCAGCACUGUGUUAAGUAUUUUACAUAUAAUUUUAUUUAAUGUUCAAAACAACCUUACAGCUGAGAUAUGAUAUUCAUUUUAUUGGUGAGAAAAUUGAGUGUCAGUACCUUGCCAAGAUCAGACAACUAUUAAAUAACAGUAACAAUUUGACUCCAGGUCUGUCCAACCCUAACAUUUAAAUUUAUGUUUACUGUAUCCAUGUGUCAUACUGUCUUCCAGUCUCUUUUUCAAGCCUGGCUUUAAAUAGGUGCAGUUUGCUCUUUGGUUUGCCAUAUUGGAAAAGGGAUUUGGAAGAAUUUUUCUCCUUGAGUUAGGUGUUUGGAGGUAUUUUUCUAUUUCUUCUAUUUUAUUUGUUCUUCCUGCAAAGCCCUGUUUGCUUUAGCUUGCUAUUUGCAUGAAACCAUAUGAAGAAUGUUCAUGAAGAACAUCUAGUAUUUAUUACUAGGAAAUAACCUAUAAUUACCCAUUUCAUUAAAAAAUUACUGAAUAGCUGUCUAAAGAUUGGUCAAUCUCAACUGAUCAACCAGCUAGUGAUUUUCUAUCAGCAUAAAGUAUUUAGCAUUCCCGUGGCCAAUUUCAUUCCAUAAGGAACAGAGGGCCAAGUCUAAUUGGAGAAUAAAUCUCAGACAUGCAUCAUGAGGAAUAUAGAUUUUCUUUUCUUUUCUACAAAUAACUUGUUGGGGAGGUGCCUUGAGCUUCAGAAAAAUUUUGGAUUCUGUAGACUUAAAGUGCAAAUAAAAUGGAAAAUAUUAACCCUUCCACCUUUUUCUUUUAAACAAUUUAAAAUCCAAGUUGUGUAAUUUUUUUUUUUUUUAAGUAUAGACCAGUUUGGAAUUCCAAAGGCUGCAAAAUGUCAUAGAAAUAAAAAUGGACUAACCUUGAGUCAGUACCAGCCUGGCCACAAUCAUUCUGACUUUCACUAUUUUAAUCCCUUUUUAACAGCUUUGCUACUUAGAAAUGUUUUAAAUAUUAAAAUAUUUGAGUAUUUUAAUCCAUUCCAAAGGCAAGAGUCUGCAUCUAUUAAUCCUGCUGUAUAGCACUGGGAAUUAUGCCUAGUCACUUAUGAUGGAGCAUGUUAAUGUGAGAAAAAAGAAUGUAUACAUAUAUGUGUAACUGGGUCACCAUGCUGUACAGUGGAAAAAAAUUGGAGAAAUAAAAUUUAAAAAUAAAUUUAAAAAAAUCUCUGGAGAGGAAUUAAAAGAGAUAUUUGCAUUUGAAAAAAAAUUAAUUAUUUUAAAUAUUACAUAAUAGGCUAAAACAUUUUUUUUAACCAAGCAUCAGUAUUUAAUAGAGCAGUACAAAGCAGAUAUCUGUGCUUAUAUAAUGUGAUUAUUUGAUCAAUCAAAUAAAAAUAUAAAAGGCUAAAUACCAAAGAAAGACAUUGGAUAUUAAACAUUAAACCAAACCAACCCACACAACUGAUUUAUAUUUUCACAUUCAGAAGGCAAAAUCCACUUACACCCAUCUAUUUUCCAUGUCAAAGGAGAGUUUAGAUUAGUGUUAUAAUUAACUGUAUAAUAUGAUUCAUUUCAAACUAUAGUUUUUCUACAUUUUGCUUGUAAUUAAUUUUCUUCUUUUUUUAAUCUUUGGAAAUGGGCUUUGUUUCCUUCCCCCACUUAAUUUCACCAUCUUAUGUAAUGCCUGCCUGUUGAUUUCAAAAUUAUCUCUGGGUGUGACAAAUUAAGGUGAGGCUGUAGAAAACAGUGAGUAUAAAGAUAUUUGUUUGCUUUUGCUUGAAGCCAGGUCAUAUGAAUUAGAAGCCACUGUGAUGACAGAAAAAUCAACUUCUUGUUAUAUACUUUUAACUGCUUGUUAUAUACUUUUUUUUUUCACAUCAGGAAUUUUAAAAAUCUACACCAUGGCAGUGGUUGCUGAAAACUCCAAACAAUUUCACUUUGAAGGGAACAAUUUUCAGCUAAACCAAAGCUACAAUAGGCUAAG
rnacentral:lncRNA from 1 species